rnacentral:rRNA from 1 species
CCUACGGGCGGCAGCAGUGGGGAAUAUUGCGCAAUGGGCGAAAGCCUGACGCAGCGACGCCGCGUGAGGGAUGAAGGUCUUCGGAUCGUAAACCUCUGUCAGCAGGGAAGAACGGUCACUGUGCUAAUCAGCAGUGAAUUGACGGUACCUGCAAAGGAAGCACCGGCUAACUCCGUGCCAGCAGCCGCGGUAAUACGGAGGGUGCGAGCGUUAAUCGGAAUUACUGGGCGUAAAGCGCUCGUAGGCGGUAUGUCAAGUCAAGGGUGAAAUCCCGGCGCUCAACGUGGGAACUGCCUUUGAAACUGGCGAACUUGAGUGUUUACGAGGAUAGUGGAAUUCCAGGUGUAGGAGUGAAAUCCGUAGAUAUCUGGAGGAACAUCAGUGGCGAAGGCGACUAUCUGGCACAUAACUGACGCUGAGGAGCGAAAGCGUGGGUAGCAAACAGGAUUAGAUACCCGAGUAGUC